rnacentral:sRNA from 1 species
UCAAACAAAUCUUGUUCGAUAUCCGCCA